rnacentral:rRNA from 1 species
UACGAAGGGGGCUAGCGUUGCUCGGAAUCACUGGGCGUAAAGCGCGCGUAGGCGGCUCGGAAAGUCGGGCGUGAAAUGCCGGGGCUCAACCCCGGGACUGCGUCCGAUACUUCCGAGCUGGAGGUAGGUAGGGGAGAUCGGAAUUCCUGGUGUAGCGGUGAAAUGCGUAGAGAUCGGAGGAACCCAGAGGCGAAGGCGGCGUCCUGGCCCAUUUCUGACGUUCAGACAUGACAGCAUGGGGAGCGAACGGGGAUUAGAAACCCGUGG